CCUACGGGAGGCAGCAGUGAGGAAUAUUGGACAAUGGGCGCAAGCCUGAUCCAGCCAUGCCGCGUGCAGGAAGACGGUCCUAUGGAUUGUAAACUGCUUUUGUACGGGAAGAAACACUCCUACGUGUAGGAGCUUGACGGUACCGUAAGAAUAAGGAUCGGCUAACUCCGUGCCAGCAGCCGCGGUAAUACGGAGGAUCCAAGCGUUAUCCGGAAUCAUUGGGUUUAAAGGGUCCGUAGGCGGUUUAGUAAGUCAGUGGUGAAAGCCCAUCGCUCAACGAUGGAACGGCCAUUGAUACUGCUAGACUUGAAUUACUAGGAAGUAACUAGAAUAUGUAGUGUAGCGGUGAAAUGCUUAGAUAUUACAUGGAAUACCAAUUGCGAAGGCAGGUUACUACUAGUGGAUUGACGCUGAUGGACGAAAGCGUGGGGAGCGAACAGGAUUAGAUACCCUGGUAGUCCACGCCGUAAACGAUGGAUACUAGCUGUUCGGGGCAACCUGAGUGGCUAAGCGAAAGUGAUAAGUAUCCACCUGGGGAGUACGUUCGCAGAAUGAAACUCAAAGGAAUUGACGG
rnacentral:rRNA from 1 species